rfam:Streptococcus pneumoniae R6, complete genome.
ACACAAACAGAAUGAAAAGGAGCUGACGCAUUGUCGCUCCCUUUUGUCUAUUUUUUA